rnacentral:misc_RNA from 1 species
GAUGAAGAACGCAGCGAAAUGCGAUACGUAGUGUGAAUUGCAGAAUUCAGUGAAUCAUCGAAUCUUUGAACGCACAUUGCACCUCUCGGUAUUCCGGGAGGUAUGCCUGUACGAGCGUCAUUUGUACCCUCAAGCUCUGCUUGGUGUUGGGUGUUUGUUCCGCCUCUGUGUGUGAACUCGCCUCAAAACAAUUGGCAGCCGGCGUACUUGUUUCGGAGCGCAGCACAUUUUGCGAUCCAGAUCAACGUACAGCGGCAUCCAAGAAGCCUUAUUUAACGCUCUUGACCUCGGAUCAGGUAGGGAUACCCGCUGAACUUAAGCAUAUCAAUAAGCGGAGGA